CCAGGAAUCUUGCGCAAUGGGCGAAAGCCUGACGCAGCAACGCCGUGUGAGCGAUGAAGGUUUUCGGAUCGUAAAGCUCUGUUUGCGGGGACGAAGGGCGCGGGGGUUAAUAGCCCCCAGCCUGACGGUACCUGCACAGAAAGCCCCGGCUAACUACGUGCCAGCAGCCGCGGUAAUACGUAGGGGGCGAGCGUUGUCCGGAAUUAUUGGGCGUAAAGGGCGCGUAGGCGGCCCGGUAAGUCCGCUGUGAAAUCCUGGGGCUCAACCCCAAGCGUGCAGUGGAAACUAGCGGGCUAGAGGAUGGUAGAGGCGAGUGGAAUUCCCGGUGUAGCGGUGAAAUGCGCAGAUAUCGGGAGGAACACCAGUAGCGAAGGCGGCUCGCUGGGCCAUUCCUGACGCUGAGGCGCGAAAGCGCGGGGAGCAAACAGGAUUAGAUACCCGCGUAGUCC
rnacentral:rRNA from 1 species